GCCAAACAAUCAAUGCCCAUGCUAGAGGUCCCUCAGCGAAUGAAAAACAAACCAUGAAUAGCUUCUCCUUAGUAGGAAAAAACAGAAGUGUAACUAUGAAAAUUGUAUUUGCAUAAUAGCAGAAGUCCAAAAGAUAGUAAUGCCAUUUCUUGUAUCUAUAGUAGAUCCAUCUCAGAGGAACAAAUAUGACAUAGAACAAACAGUAAACAUAUCGAAUAUCCUUAGGCCUUGCACCCAAAAUAAAGCAAAAUGCCCCAAACCCAAGAACACCCAUCAGAUGAGUCACCUUGUUGAUGAAUCGUUCGUGCUCCUCAGCCCGUUUAGCGAUCUGUGCAGCUUGUUUUGUCAAGAUCUGUUUCGUCUUCUCUUUGGUUUUCUGAGAUCGAUCUUUGAAACGCUGUUUGACCUUGCCGAAUGAAUGGCCAUUGAUAUCUUCCAUGGAUUCUUCGUUACUUGACAUGUUUGUGUGAUGAAAAUGGGUAUUUUUGCGAUUAAAUACUGGAUUAAAAAAUCUCGAAUUGAGGAAUGGUUAAUUUAUGUUGACAGAGAGAGUUGAUGAUUGAUCAUUUAUGUUUGUUGUUAGAUAAAAUAAAUCUGCCAUUGCCAACCUUCAUUUGUUUUUGCAGAGCACACAAUUCCAGGCGUUUAU
rnacentral:misc_RNA from 1 species